AGUGUUGGGUGGGCGGGGCCAGGGAUUUGAGUAGAGAAGUCUGACGGCCGCCUCCCCAAGUCUCGCGUAAUCACGUGGUUGGCACCCAGGCGGAAGUCUCCUGCCACUGCUUUGGGAUGAGGAACUUGCAAAGCAUUGCUGGAAGAGGCAGAUGGAUCUUACGGCAGCUUUGGAGGCAGAAGUCGUAGGCAUGCUGAACUCGACAUUCACGUGAUUGGCAAAUCUGGAAGGCACUUCCCGGUCAGAGCCAAGUUCAAGGUGGCAGAAGAAACAGUGUGGGUGACCAGAGGCUAUGAAAGAAAGGUCUUCCCGGAAUGUCAGCCCACCCAGGAUGCGUAUCCCAGGCAAAGUCAGAUUUGUGUUGGAAAUCUUGAAAGGACUAACUCAAGCAUAGGAAAAUGGUGGGAGCUGUGUUACUCAGAAGAGCAUGCACAUAGGUCCUUGCUGACUUGAGCCUUAAGGCUGCCAAGGUUCCUGCCCAUCUGUGUGGGAGAUAGCAAACAUGGCCAGAUUCUCCAGAUUCUUCCUUUUUCUAUCCAUGUUCUUGGGCAGUCCCCUCCCACACUGACUCUGAGCAAGAGCGUGUGAUUUGCUUUAGUCAAGAUCAAAUAUACUGCAAGCAGAAACUUGAAAAGUGCUGUGUGCUGGGGCUUGCCCUCUUCUGCUGUACUUGGAACCCCAGGACCAUUAUGCAAAUGAGCCGGCGGGGUGGGGAUGAGUGAUCACAUGAAGGGGAAGUAAGAUACCCUAGCCAACCAGGCAACUGACUGCAGCAGACCCGUGAGUGAGCCCCUAAGGAGAUCAGCUCAGCCAGCAUAGACAAGGACUUGCUCAAGCUUGCCCACAUUGCUGAUAUACAGGAUCUUGAGCUAAUAAACAAAUGGUUGUUUUGGGGGACCACUAAUUUUCAGGCUGGUUUGUAACACAGUAGAAGCUGAUACAUCAACGUCCUGAAGCUGGAGUUCUUAGCUUUCCUCUGAUUCUGUAAACAAUUAUACCCUUAAAAUAAAUUCCUUUUGCUUAAAGUUAG